rnacentral:misc_RNA from 1 species
AACGGUCUAUACCUGCGGUACCUGCGGAGGGAUCAUUAUUGAAUUCACUAUGCAAAGCUGUUUGCUGGUUCCUUCGGGGGCAUGUGCACGCUUUGCAAAAGUCAUUUCAACCACCUGUGAACCUUUUGUAGUCCUUGGGUGACGCUACUUUUCAAAGGAGACUUUGGAUUUGAAUGCUGCAGGCUUUAAAGGUCGGCUUUAUUCUACAGCAGAGCCCGGGUCUAUACAUUAUACACCCCA